AUUGAACGCUGGCGGCAGGCCUAACACAUGCAAGUCGAGCGGAUGAAGGGAGCUUGCUCCUGGAUUCAGCGGCGGACGGGUGAGUAAUGCCUAGGAAUCUGCCUGGUAGUGGGGGAUAACGUCCGGAAACGGGCGCUAAUACCGCAUACGUCCUGAGGGAGAAAGUGGGGGAUCUUCGGACCUCACGCUAUCAGAUGAGCCUAGGUCGGAUUAGCUAGUUGGUGGGGUAAAGGCCUACCAAGGCGACGAUCCGUAACUGGUCUGAGAGGAUGAUCAGUCACACUGGAACUGAGACACGGUCCAGACUCCUACGGGAGGCAGCAGUGGGGAAUAUUGGACAAUGGGCGAAAGCCUGAUCCAGCCAUGACGCGUGUGUGAAGAAGGUCUUCGGAUUGUAAAGCACUUUAAGUUGGGAGGAAGGGCAGUAAGUUAAUACCUUGCUGUUUUGACGGUACCAACAGAAUAAGCACCGGCUAACUUCGUG
rnacentral:rRNA from 1 species